AAGAACCCAGCUCAAGCUGCCCUCUCUUUUUCUGCAGCCAAUAUAUGUAUGUCCCCUUGUUCCAUUCACAUUCACAUUCACUAAAUGCCAAUGCAAGAGAGAAGAGAGAGAUGAUGUUCCAUGCUCAUGACAAAACUUAUCAUAUAGUAUAAUAUCGGUCAAAAGAGAGGGGCUACCACCAACCUGAUUUAAUGCAUGCCAUGGAAUUAUUACUAUCUUUCUGCAUUAGAUAUUACAUAGCAUCCUAGCUGUGGAUCUUUAUCAUCACUCUCACACUUGUAUAUAACAAUUGUUGCCCAAUUAGGAUAAGGACCUGCAUUGUUUCAAUUCAUAUAGAGUGGGUGGUGUUGUCACGAGCAUUAUUAAUGUAUAACGUAAUUUCCCCCAAUCUCAUAAAACGACUAAAAGAACAAGAAUUGAAACCACAUAUUAUUAUUAGUGUUUCAUAUUCAACGCGAAAAUGAUGUCCACUUCCCAUCAUAGUUCUUACGUACUUUUCUCUCGCUUUCAUGCUCUCUCCAAUAACGA